rfam:Equus caballus chromosome 20, whole genome shotgun sequence.
CAAAAGGCUCUUUUCAGAGCCACCACAGGUCUCAAAAAAAAGAGCU